UACAGAGACUGCAAGCGUUAUUCGGAUUCACUGGGCGUAAAGGGUGCGCAGGCGGUUGGGUGUGUCAGAUGUGAAAUCCCGAGGCUUAACCUCGGAACUGCGUCUGAAACUACUCGACUAGAGUACUGGAGAGGGAAACGGAAUUCACGGUGUAGCAGUGAAAUGCGUAGAUAUCAUGAGGAACACCAGAGGCGAAGGCGGUUUCCUGGACAGUUACUGACGCUCAGGCACGAAAGCAUGGGGAGCAAAAGGG
rnacentral:rRNA from 1 species